GAUGAACGCUGGCGGCGUGCCUAAUACAUGCAAGUCGAGCGAACAGACGAGGAGCUUGCUCCUCUGACGUUAGCGGCGGACGGGUGAGUAACACGUGGAUAACCUACCUAUAAGACUGGGAUAACUUCGGGAAACCGGAGCUAAUACCGGAUAAUAUAUUGAACCGCAUGGUUCAAUAGUGAAAGACGGUUUUGCUGUCACUUAUAGAUGGAUCCGCGCCGCAUUAGCUAGUUGGUAAGGUAACGGCUUACCAAGGCGACGAUGCGUAGCCGACCUGAGAGGGUGAUCGGCCACACUGGAACUGAGACACGGUCCAGACUCCUACGGGAGGCAGCAGUAGGGAAUCUGCCGCAAUGGGCGAAAGCCUGACGGAGCAACGCCGCGUGAGUGAUGAAGGUCUUCGGAUCGUAAAACGCUGUUAUUAGGGAAGAACAAAUGUGUAAGUAACUAUGCGCGUCUGGACGGUACCUAAUCAGAAAGCCACGGCUAACUACGU
rnacentral:rRNA from 1 species